rnacentral:rRNA from 1 species
UACGUAGGUGGCAAGCGUUGUCCGGAUUUACUGGGCGUAAAGAGCGCGCAGGCGGUCGAUCAAGUCGCGUGUGAAAGCCCCCGGCUCAACUGGGGAGGGUCACGCGAUACUGAUCGACUCGAAGGCAGGAGAGGGUAGUGGAAUUCCCGGUGUAGUGGUGAAAUGCGCAGAUAUCAGGAAGAACACCCGUGGCGAAGGCGGUUCUCUGGGACGGUACUGACGCUGAGACGCGAAAGCGUGGGGAGCGAACAGG